AUUUUCUUUAAAUGGCUUCAGCCAUUUGACAGCGGCGAUGCUGAAAUGUGGGACAAGACCUUCCAACAUCUUCCACAUAAAUAACAACGUGUGUGUGCGUGUGAGCGUGUGUGCUUCAAAUGUGGAAAGGAAAACAAAAGGCACAGACAGGUGAGAGAACAACAAACAAGUUGUGUUAGUUUGACGGUCAGGAAGACUAUAAAAGUUUUCAACGUUUCGAGCCUACGCUCUUCGACAGAAAGGAAUGAGCUUCGGUCACCACCACCACUACUACUACUACU